rnacentral:rRNA from 1 species
UACGUAGGGUGCAAGCGUUGUCCGGAAUUAUUGGGCGUAAAGAGCUCGUAGGCGGUCUGUCGCGUCUGCUGUGAAAACUCAGGGCUUAACCCUGAGCUUGCAGUGGGUACGGGCAGACUAGAGUGCAGUAGGGGAGACUGGAAUUCCUGGUGUAGCGGUGAAAUGCGCAGAUAUCAGGAGGAACACCGGUGGCGAAGGCGGGUCUCUGGGCCGUAACUGACGCUGGAGGAGCGGAAAGCAUGGGGAGCGAACAGG